rnacentral:rRNA from 1 species
AGCUCCAAUAGCGUAUAUUAAAGUUGUUGCAGUUAAAAAGCUCGUAGUUGAAUUUUGGACUUUGCUCUAUUGUCGGCCUUAGUGGUUUGUACUUUAGCUACUUUGUCCUUUUUUCUAGUAAGGCUGGAUGCCCUUUAUUGGGUGUCCAGAAGGACUAGGACUUUUACUUUGAAGAAAUUAGAGUGUUUAAGGCAGGCUUAUGCUUGAAUAUAUUAGCAUGGAAUAAUAGAAUAGGACUUUGGUUCUAUUU